AUACGGAGGAUCCGAGCGUUAUCCGGAAUUAUUGGGUUUAAAGGGUGCGUAGGCGGCGCACUAAGUCAGGGGUGAAAUACGGUGGCUCAACCAUCGCAGUGCCUUUGAUACUGGUGUGCUUGAAUGUCGUUGGAGAUGGCGGAAUGGGACAAGUAGCGGUGAAAUGCAUAGAUAUGUCCCAGAACCCCGAUCGCGAAGGCAGCUGUCUAAGCGACGAUUGACGCUGAUGCACGAAAGCGUGGGGAUCGAACAGGAUUAGAUACCCUGGUAGUCCACGCCCUAAACGAUGGUGGCUCGAUGUCGGCGAUAUACAGUCGGUGUCCAAGCGAAAGCGUUAAGCCACCCACCUGGGGAGUACGGCCGCAAGGUUGAA
rnacentral:rRNA from 1 species